UGAUUAGUGUUAUUUCUGUACAGUGUGUGUAUGUUUUCUUACGUUACAACUGGUUUAGAGUUAGGUCUGAUUAAUGAUAUUCCUUACAGUGUCUGUAGGUCUUCUUACAUUACAACUGGUUUAGGGUUAGGCCUGGGUAGUGUUGUUCCUGUCCUGUACAGUGUCUAUCGGUUUUCUUACGUUACAAAUGCUUUAGGGUUAGGGCUGGUUAGUAUCCCCCCCCCCCCCUACAAUCUCUUAUCGAUGGUAUGAACUUUGAAGAAGAUUCCUUUUCACUUCUUAUCAUUACGUUGGUAUGAAUUGUGGAAAUCGUGAUCAUCAUUACCCAGGAAGAAAAAAGGAAAUGUCGUAAUAUAUUUGAUUAUCAAAUUAUUGAGAAGAUGUUUGUAAAUUGAGAAACGAUAACGUAUCUGUUUUAUCGGACUACGAGAAAGUUGAGAUAUAACAUAUUACAUGUUACGCAGGAACAGAAAACAAAUGUACUCUUGUUAUAUCUGAAAGUCCAAGUGUCAGUUUAAUUUCAAAGAAAGAAAAUCAUGUGAAGACUAAAAUGGAUUGGUGUGUACUGUAACGACGUGGUGAGACUCCAAAAUAGUUUUAUUAUUACGUACUCGACUUUUUAAAACUCCCUUAAUUAAAAGGUUAAGUUUUAAAUUUUCCUUUUUUAAAAAACUAAAAACCUUUACUAUCAAAUCACGGAUGGCUGGUCGAGAGGAUGGACAAACUUCUCAAAGCACGGAUGGCUGGUCGAGAGGAUGGACAAACUUCUUCUGAGAAUUUCAGAGGAAAACAAAGAGUAAAAUAGUUUGGGUUUUACAGUUUCCUUGAGCGCUAAAAGAGAACAACAAAAAAACACAGUUUUAUGCUCCAGUUGCUACACGUCGCUCCUUCUUAAAAUUUACGUCACAGACUUACAUUUAUAUUCAAAGAAGCGCAUCCGUCGUCUCCGUUAUCCGGACUUCAAACGACAUCUUGAAAGACAGGAUGAAAUGAGACAAUACACUUUUCGAUAAGGGCAACAUUGGAAGUUCUAUCGAUUGGCUAUCACACCCAUGCGCACAAGCAAUGAUAUCCUGGCGACGACAGUAUAUAGCAGAGGAACUCUCCGCUUUUCAUAGACCAGCGCUAACACUUAACUGCUCUACACACCGGCGUAACGAGACACAGUCCAAAGACCGAACACCUCAAGCCAGAAGAAAGUAUUCCUAUUAAAACCACCUUCACGUCAUAAA